rnacentral:rRNA from 1 species
GAUGAACGCUGGCGGCGUGCCUAAUACAUGCAAGUCGAGCGAACAGACGAGGAGCUUGCUCCUCUGACGUUAGCGGCGGACGGGUGAGUAACACGUGGAUAACCUACCUAUAAGACUGGGAUAACUUCGGGAAACCGGCGCUAAUACCGGAUAAUCUAUUGAACCGCAUGGUUCAAUAGUGAAAGACGGUUUUGCUGUCACUUAUAGAUGGAUCCGCGCCGCAUUAGCUAGUUGGUAAGGUAACGGCUUACCAAGGCAACGAUGCGUAGCCGACCUGAGAGGGUGAUAGGCCACAUUGGAGCUGAGACACGGUCAAGACUCCUAAGGGAGGCAGCAGUAGGGAAUGUUCCGCAAUGGGCGAAAGCAUGACGGAGCAACGCCGCGUGAGUGAUGAAGGUCUUCGGAGCGUAAAACUCUGUUAUGAGGGAAGAACAAAUGUGUAAGUAACUAUGCACGUCUUGACGGUACCUAAUCAGAAAGCCACGGCUAACUACGUG